rnacentral:rRNA from 1 species
ACGAACGCUGGCGGCGUGCUUCACCCAUGCAAGUCGCACGGAAAGGCCCUGCAUUUGUGGGGUGCUCGAGUGGCGAACGGGUGAGUAACACGUGAGUAACCUGCCCUUGACUUUGGGAUAACUUCAGGAAACUGGGGCUAAUACCGGAUAGGAGCUCCUGCUGCAUGGUGGGGGUUGGAAAGUUUCGGCGGUUGGGGAUGGACUCGCGGGUUAUCAGCUUGUUGGUGGGGGAGUGGCUUACCAAGGCUUUGACGGGUAGCCGGCCUGAGAGGGUGACCGGCCACAUUGGGACUGCGAUAGGGCCCAGACUCCUACGGGCGGCAGUAGUGGGGAAUAUUGCACAAUGGGGGGAAGCCUGAUGCAGCAACGCCGCGUGCGGGAUGACGGCCUUCGGGUUGUAAACCGCUUUCGCCUGUGACGAAGCGUGAGUGACGGUAAUGGGUAAAGAAGCACCGGCUAACUACGUG